rnacentral:rRNA from 1 species
UGAGAAUCUGCCUAGAGGUCGGGGACAACCAUUGGAAACGAUGGCUAAUACCGGAUAUGCCUUACGGGGUGAAAGAUUAAUUGCCUUUAGAAGAGCUCGCGUCUGAUUAGCUAGUUGGUGAGGUAAGAGCUCACCAAGGCAGCGAUCAGUGGCUGGUCUGAGAGGAUGACCAGCCACACUGGGACUGAGACACGGCCCAGACUCCUACGGGAGGCAGCAGUGGGGAAUUUUCCGCAAUGGGCGAAAGCCUGACGGAGCAAGACCGCGUGAGGGAGGAAGGCUCUUGGGUUGUAAACCUCUUUUGUCAGGGAAGAACAAAAUGACGGUACCUGACGAAUCAGCAUCGGCUAACUCCGUGCCAGCAGCCGCGGUAAUACGGAGGAUGCAAGCGUUAUCCGGAAUUAUUGGGCGUAAAGCGUCCGCAGGUGGCUGAUCAAGUCUGCGGUCAAAGACCGGGGCUUAACCCUGGAAAGGCCGUGGAAACUGAUAGAGCUAGAGUACCGUAGGGGUAGAGGGAAUUCCCGGUGUAGCGGUGAAAUGCGUAGAGAUCGGGAAGAACAUCGGUGGCGAAAGCGCUCUACUGGACGGUGACUGACACUCAGGGACGAAAGCUAGGGGAGCGAAUGGGAUUAGAUACCCCAGUAGUCCUAGCCGUAAACGAUGGAUACUAG